AUGAUCCUGUACAGGGGGGUAGAAUUUCAGUGGUACCGGAGAAAUGCGUACAGAUCUGAAGGAAUACCCAGUGGCGAAAGGCGGCCCCCUGGACAAAAGACUGACGCUCAGAUGCGAAAGCGUGGGUUGCAAACAGGGAUUAGAUACCUGGUAGUCCACGCCGUAAACGCUGUCUACUUGGAGGUUGAGGUUUUAGACUUUGGCUUUCGGCGCAAACGCAUUAAGAAGACCGCCUGGGGAGUACGGCCGCAAGGUAAAAACUCAAAUGAAUUGACGGGGGCCCGCACAAGCGGUGGAGCAUGUGGUUUAAUUCGAUGCAACGCGAAGAACCUUACCUACUCUAGACAUCCAGCGAAUCCUUUAGAGAUAGAGGAGUGCCUUCGGGAGCGCAGAGACAGGUGCUGCAUGGCUGUCGUCAGCUCGUGUUGUGAAAUGUUGGGUUAUGUCCCGCAACGAGCGCAACCCUUAUCCUUGUUUGCCAGCACAUAUUGGUGGGAACUCCAGGGAGACUGCCGGUCAUAUACCGGAGGAAGGUGGGGACGACGUCAAGUCAUCAUGGCCCUUACGAGUAGGGCUACACACG
rnacentral:rRNA from 1 species